rnacentral:lncRNA from 1 species
CUGGACCGCGCCUGGGCGUUUCGAGGGCGUGUCGAGGGCGGCUCUCCCCGGGCGGCCCACGGUCGGGGGCGUGUCCUCCGCGGCGGGGCGGGCCCGUGGCGCUGUCCGGUGCUGAAGCUCUGCCCGGCGCCGCCGCAGGAGCGCGGAGAGGCGCGGCUGGGGCAGCUGGCGCCGCCUCGCUCGUCCCCCUCGGUCCUCGCUCCCGCGGGGCCAUGGACUGAGCGCUGGACCUGUCGCGGGGAUGGGGCCGCUCCCACCUCUCCUGCUCCUGCUGCUGCUGCUCCUGCCGCUCGCCCUGCCCGCCGCCCCCGCCCCCGCGCCCCGCAGCCGGCAGCUCCCGGGGCGCUUGGGCUGCCUGCUGGAGGAUGGCCUUUGCGGUACAUCGGAGGCCUGUGUAAACGAUCAUCUACAUCUAAAAUGCGGAUGACGGCACUUUUCUGAAGGUGGAUGAAAGUGAUCACGAAGGGUCUGUACAGGACCUGGCACCCAGGGGACGUUUGCCAUGUGACACAGCCACUGUGCGGAAGGUGAUGGUGAUGGUGGCCAUGGUAGUGACGGCUGGGACAGUGACGGUGGCAGUGAGGCUGAGGAUGGUGCGACGAUGCCGAC